AGUGAACGCUGGCGGUAGGCCUAACACAUGCAAGUCGAACGGCAGCACAGUAAGAGCUCGCUCUUACGGGUGGCGAGUGGCGGACGGGUGAGGAAUACAUCGGAAUCUACUUUUUAGUGGGGGAUAACGUAGGGAAACUUACGCUAAUACCGCAUACGACCUACGGGUGAAAGCAGGGGAUCUUCGGAUCUCGCGCGAUUGAAUGAGCCGAUGUCGGAUUAGCUAGUUGGCGGGGUAAAGGCCCACCAAGGCGACGAUCCGUAGCUGGUCUGAGAGGAUGAUCAGCCACACUGGAACUGAGACACGGUCCAGACUCCUACGGGAGGCAGCAGUGGGGAAUAUUGGACAAUGGGCGCAAGCCUGAUCCAGCCAUACCGCGUGUGUGAAGAAGGCCUUCGGGUUGUAAAGCCCUUUUGUUGGGAAAGAAAAGCAGCAGGUUAAUACCCCGCUGUUCUGACGGUACCCAAAGAAUAAGCACCGGCUAACUUCGUG
rnacentral:rRNA from 1 species